rnacentral:rRNA from 1 species
CGGCCCGCUAGUGUACCGGUUGUCACGCCAGUGGCAGCGCCGGGUAGCCAUGGCCGGUUCGGAUAAGCGCUGAAAGCAUCUAAGUGCGAAGCCGACUCCAAGAUAAGGUCUCCCACCGGGUUAACCGGGUAAGGGCCCUGGUAGACAACCAGGUUGAUAGGCCGCAGGUGUAAGAAGAGCAAUCUUUUGAGCUGAGCGGUACUAAUAGCCCGAGGGCUUGUUCACCUAUAACUCACUCU